UCAAACUUGGUCAUUUAGAGGAAGUAAAAGUCGUAACAAGGUUUCCGUAGGUGAACCUGCGGAAGGAUCAUUACCAAAAAAGUGAGCAAUCGCUUUUAUUACCCGCUCAGUGGCCCUCUGGGUCGCUGACAGGUCAACCCUUUGUGAACCAAAAAACCUUUCGCUUCGGCAGCUGGGCCUAACCGCCCGUCAGCCUGCCGUUAGCACUUUUUCAAAAAAAACUUGUUUGUCAAAACAUUGUCUGAUAACCAAAUUUUCGAAUGAAAAUCAAAACUUUCAACAACGGAUCUCUUGGUUCCCGCAUCGAUGAAGAACGCAGC
rnacentral:misc_RNA from 1 species